GGUUCUAUGGUGUAAUGGUUAGCACUCUGGACUUUGAAUCCAGCGAUCUGAGUUCAAGUCUCGGUAGAACCU
rnacentral:tRNA from 1 species